rnacentral:tRNA from 1 species
GUUUUAAUAAUUUAAUAAUAAAAUAUUGGUCUUGUAAACCAAAAAUAAGUAAAGCUUUUAAAACU